AAGUAUGUAUGUAGCUGCAUACCUAAGUACUCCCUCAGAGUAUCUGUGUGGCCAGCAAACACAAGGCACUGGCAUCUGCUGUGGGAACACGAGGCCCUGGCGUGGGCAAACUGGAAGGGGCCAUGUGAGGCUGGAGCUCAUGUUGCUGGUGCUGGUGAAUCUUUGUGGGAUACCUUGGCUCCAGGUUACCUUACCUGUUGAUAAAACAGGAAUAAAAGCAGACAGGUUUCUCAGUCAUCCAUUCUUUCUGGUGACAGAACUGAGGACUUGGAUCAGCACCUCGUGCACUGGCAUCAUGAGAUGCCUCAAGGUAGGUAUCCAGCCUGGAAUUCAAGUACCACUCCAUAAGACCCCCAGUCCUCUGCCAGACCUGCCAGUUUUUUAGGAUGCUCCCAACAACCCACACUGAGCUGAACUGUGAACCCUGAACCCUCUUCCUACAGCUGCACCACCUCAUCUUCUGCUCUUCAUAUGGAACAACAGACACAAAGAGCUAAAAUAUUGGUGCAAUUCAUGAGCUUCCUUCUUCAAAAGAAAUUGUACACCCCACCACCUAGUAAUGGCAAUCUGCUGAACAAGCACCUAGUGUAGACCAAUAAACGAAAGGAAAC
rnacentral:lncRNA from 1 species